UGUGAAUGUAUUUUUUUAAUCUUGUAUGCUUAGACACAGAGUUACCAUACGUGUUAAGCUGUUUUUAUGGAGCUAUAAAUACCUGAGACCAGGUCAUUUAUAAGAGAAGAGGAUUAAGUGGCUCACAGUUCUGCAGGCUGUACAGGAGCAUAAGGGCUUCUUCCUCUGGGGAGGCCUCAGGAAACUCUUACUCAUGGUGGAAGGUGAAGGGGGAGCAGGCGAGUCACGUGGUGAAAGCGGGAGCAGCGGGGUCGGGGAGGUGCCACACACGUUUAAACACCAGAUCUCACAGGAACCCAGAGUGAGAGCUCACUCUUCACCACGGGGAUGGCUCAAGCCAUUCCUGAGGGAGUCACGCCCGUGACCUAAACACCUGCCCCCAGGCCCCACCUCCAACACGGGGGAUGACAGUUCAACACGAGGCUUGGCAAGGACAUGCGUUUAAACUGUAUCACCAUAUAACCCGGGAAGUCUAGGCCCGGGCUGAUACUCAGGACAACUGAAAACGGGUCCGCACAAAACUUGUGAAUCAAUGUUGAUCACCGCGUUAUUCAUCAUAGCCAAAAGAUAAAAUCAGCCCAAACGUCCGUCCGCUGAUGGACAGGUUAAAAACGUGGCCCAUCCCUGCAACGAAAUGUGGCCCAGCCCCGAGAGGCAUGAAGUGCUGACGGGUGGAGCGACACGGAGGAGCCUCAGAAACACCCACCAUGCUGCUGCCCGGAAGAGGCAGGCACGGAAGGCCACGCGCUCUAUGACCUCAUCCAUGGGAAACGCACAGAGGCGAGGCCUGCCCGGGGCUGGGAGGAGGGGGCACAGGAGCGCCGGCUGUGGGGAUGGUGUUUCUCCCGCCGGGGGUGGCUGGCUCACCCUGGCACUGCACCGCAGUGGGGGUGGACCGGAUGCCGCUGAACUGCCUGGACUUUCAAGAGGUAAAUUCCGAGGAGAUUCUAGAAGCCAGACCUCGGAGUGGGGGAGGUGCUAGGCCUCCCUCCCACCUGGAUAACCUGACCCGGAGCCUGGGGAAGCUGGCUCGGCACCCCCAGCCCUGACCUCUCCUCGUGGGCCUGGCACGGCAGGCUCUGGGCACAGCCAGGACCCCCAGGGCCUCAGUCUAGCCCCUCAUUUUCCAAGGAGGCAACCGAGGCCCAGCCAGGCUUUCAAGGCUGGGCAGAGCCAGCCUGGAACUCAAGUCCCCAACAACUCCCAGUCAUGGAAUGUUGUACAAGAGGAUUCUGGCAGCCAACCCUGACAUCUUUAAAAAUGUUCUUUCUGGCCCUUAACUACUGGGGCACCACAGUUCCUCGGCUGUCUGUCUUUGUGCUGGGCUGUGCCUGGCUUUGUCUGUAGCUGUCAGUCCUAUUUUGUCCGCUAGGAACAAGGCCAGGGCAGCCUCUGUGAUCCCCUCGAGCUGGCCAGUCUUCCCUGACCCUUCCCUCUCGGCCCCUGGCCUUGCUGUAGUCAUGUCCAUGGACACCUCCUGCCCACCCUGGCGGGCACCACUGUGUGGACACAGUCCUGGGAGGGGUGGGGGGCACCACUUUGGGAACGGAGGGUCUGAACUCUGCCCUGUCUUUGAGCCUUUGUUUUCCUUGUGUGCAGACGAGUGCUCCAGCCAGGUCCUCUCCAAAGUCUCGGCCCCCUGCCUGGUGCAAUCUCUGCCUGACAAACCCGGCCCCCCGAAGUGCUCUCACUCCUUCAAGUCUCAUUUUGUUAACAGGGGGCUGUUCUUGUGGAGGGUCCCACACCCAUUGUCUUAGCUGACCCCACAGCAGGCAGGUGGGGAGGGCAGGGAUCUUCUGCCCACUCUGAGGACAAGGAGACAGCCUGGAAGGGGUGGCUGGAGGGUCUGGCUCUGUCCUUUCCGCUGCGCUGGGCCAGGAGCAGGAUCCCAGUUGCCCGACUACCCUGUAGUCCACACCUGGAGGAUGCUGUCACUCAUGAGUGCCCCGGACCUGGGGCGCUGUCCUGGCACUUAGCACCCCUUCCAGAUGAGGGGGCAGCCCAAGCAGGCACCUAGCAGGUGGGAGACAGAGCUGGGCCUGGCACCAACCUGGCUUCCUUCGAGGCUUUAUGGGUCCCGGGGGCAUCUGGGAAAACUCUUGAGUUGGGUUUUGGUAGCAGGAACGGGUCAGGCCCCACAUCCCAAGCAGAGGUCGUGGGGACUGGGAGGCAGCUCGCUGCCCUAAGAGGACGGUACUGGGGCCCCAGGCCCAGAGAUGAGCCUCGUCCCACCCCACGUGAUACACCCCUCCCCCUGCACGCGGCAGGCCCCUCACAGGGCUCUACUCCAGUGGCGUGUGCUGGCGGCUGGGGAGGCCCGAGAGGAUGGUGGUUCCAUGGAAAUGGGAGAGUGGACACUGUCCAGGGCGCCGGUCCCAGCCCCAGGGCCAGCGAGGUCAAGGUCUCCUUGCUGGGCCUUCCUUCCACUAGGGGUGACCACAGGAGGUGGUGUGAAUGCCCGCAGGGGCUGUUCUGAUCAAGUCCACUCAGCCUCUCCCUGUCUGCGUGUCAAGGGCACGCCAGCAGGCAGGGCACUCCCUGCACCGCCGCACAAACCGGCAUCUUCUUCGUCCUGACUUGAG
rnacentral:lncRNA from 1 species